AUCGCUUCUCGGCCUUUUGGCUAAGAUCAAGCGUAGUAGGAUCUGUUCUUCAGCUUAAUCCCCUCUGUCACUUCCUGCCGCCACCGUUCUCGUUCAGAUCUUUAUUGCUUGGUUAGAUGACUACCAUCAUAAUCUCACUAUACUUCCUGUUCACAUAUCUUCUACAUUCUGAUGGCAGAUUUUCUUAUGAAAGUGAGGAUUAUACCACUA
rnacentral:snRNA from 1 species